UGCGUAGGCGGAAAAUUAAGUCAGUGAUGAAAUCCUGCAGCUUAACUGUAGAACUGUUAUUGAUACUGAUUUUCUUGAAUAUAGUUGAGGUAGGCGGAAUGUGUAAUGUAGCGGUGAAAUGCUUAGAUAUUACACAGAUCACCGAUUGCGAAGGCAGCUUACUAAGCUAUUAUUGACGCUGAGGCACGAAAGCGUGGGGAGCGAACAGGAUUAGAUACCCUGGUAGUCC
rnacentral:rRNA from 1 species